AUAGUGGGGUCAGUACUUGGUGCCUUGUGGAGUGGGAAUCCGCCAUCAAGCCACAAACUAUCAAAUUCCGGGGAACCCCUAAAAAUUCAAGUACCAAGCUGUAGAUGAAAAUCUAUAUGUGGAUGAAGUAACUACUCAUGUACGGUAACAAGCUUGAAGCCUUCUGAAAAGAACGUGGGCAAUCGCGGAUCUAAAUCAGCAGUAUGAGGGCGCAAGCUCUUUAUUGCUGUAAAAGAGCAACGAGUAGACGGUAGUUGUAUAGGAACUAAAAGUUAUGCUUCUAAAUUAAGGUAUGCUCCUAUAUUAAGGUAUACUCUAACGGGUUUCGAAAGAAACCA
rnacentral:ncRNA from 1 species